UUAAGCGACUAAGCGUACACGGUGGAUGCCCUGGCAGUCAGAGGCGAUGAAGGACGUGCUAAUCUGCGAAAAGCGUCGGUAAGGUGAUAUGAACCGUUAUAACCGGCGAUGUCCGAAUGGGGAAACCCAGUGCAAUUCGUUGCACUAUCGUUAACUGAAUACAUAGGUUAACGAGGCGAACCGGGGGAACUGAAACAUCUAAGUACCCCGAGGAAAAGAAAUCAACCGAGAUUCCCCCAGUAGCGGCGAGCGAACGGGGAGCAGCCCGGAGUCUGAAUCAGCUUGUGUGUUAGUGGAAGCGUCUGGAAAGUCGCAGGGUACAGGGUGAUACUCCCGUACACUAAAACACACAGGCUGUGAACUCGAAGAGUAGGGCGGGACACGUGGUAUCCUGUCUGAAUAUGGGGGGACCAUCCUCCAAGGCUAAAUACUCCUGACUGACCGAUAGUGAACCAGUACCGUGAGGGAAAGGCGAAAAGAACCCCGGCGAGGGGAGUGAAAAAGAACCUGAAACCGUGUACGUACAAGCAGUAGGAGCCCCACCACCAAAGCGUUUCGCUUUGCGUGGUGCGCAAAAUGCGUAACGACAGCAUGAUGGACGGUUAACGGAGCGUCAGCGACGUUCAACCUCAAAAAUCAGGCAGUGGAGCGUUUUGGGGUGGGGUGACUGCGUACCUUUUGUAUAAUGGGUCAGCGACUUAUAUUCUGUAGCAAGGUUAACCGAAUAGGGGAGCCGCAGGGAAACCGAGUCUUAACUGGGCGUUAAGUUGCAGGGUAUAGACCCGAAACCCGGUGAUCUAGCCAUGGGCAGGUUGAAGGUUGGGUAACACUAACUGGAGGACCGAACCGACUAAUGUUGAAAAAUUAGCGGAUGACUUGUGGCUGGGGGUGAAAGGCCAAUCAAACCGGGAGAUAGCUGGUUCUCCCCGAAAGCUAUUUAGGUAGCGCCUCGUGAACUCAUCUUCGGGGGUAGAGCACUGUUUCGGCUAGGGGGUCAUCCCGACUUACCAACCCGAUGCAAACUACGAAUACCGAAGAAUGUUAUCACGGGAGACACACGGCGGGUGCUAACGUCCGUCGUGAAGAGGGAAACAACCCAGACCGCCAGCUAAGGUCCCAAAGUCAUGGUUAAGUGGGAAACGAUGUGGGAAGGCCCAGACAGCCAGGAUGUUGGCUUAGAAGCAGCCAUCAUUUAAAGAAAGCGUAAUAGCUCACUGGUCGAGUCGGCCUGCGCGGAAGAUGUAACGGGGCUAAACCAUGCACCGAAGCUGCGGCAGCGACACUAUGUGUUGUUGGGUAGGGGAGCGUUCUGUAAGCCGUUGAAGGUGGCCUGUGAGGGUUGCUGGAGGUAUCAGAAGUGCGAAUGCUGACAUAAGUAACGAUAAUGCGGGUGAAAAACCCGCACGCCGGAAGACCAAGGGUUCCUGUCCAACGUUAAUCGGGGCAGGGUGAGUCGACCCCUAAGGCGAGGCCGAAAGGCGUAGUCGAUGGGAAACAGGUUAAUAUUCCUGUACUUGGUGUUACUGCGAAGGGGGGACGGAGAAGGCUAUGUUGGCCGGGCGACGGUUGUCCCGGUUUAAGCAUGUAGGCGGAUGUUCCAGGUAAAUCCGGAACGUUACUAACGCUGAGGUGUGAUGACGAGGCACUACGGUGCUGAAGUGACAAAUGCCCUGCUUCCAGGAAAAGCCUCUAAGCAUCAGGUAACAUCAAAUCGUACCCCAAACCGACACAGGUGGUCAGGUAGAGAAUACCAAGGCGCUUGAGAGAACUCGGGUGAAGGAACUAGGCAAAAUGGUGCCGUAACUUCGGGAGAAGGCACGCUGAUGGUAGGUGAAGUGACUUGCUCAUGGAGCUGAAAUCAGUCGAAGAUACCAGCUGGCUGCAACUGUUUAUUAAAAACACAGCACUGUGCAAACACGAAAGUGGACGUAUACGGUGUGACGCCUGCCCGGUGCCGGAAGGUUAAUUGAUGGGGUUAUCCUCGCGGAGAAGCUCUUGAUCGAAGCCCCGGUAAACGGCGGCCGUAACUAUAACGGUCCUAAGGUAGCGAAAUUCCUUGUCGGGUAAGUUCCGACCUGCACGAAUGGCGUAAUGAUGGCCAGGCUGUCUCCACCCGAGACUCAGUGAAAUUGAACUCGCUGUGAAGAUGCAGUGUACCCGCGGCAAGACGGAAAGACCCCGUGAACCUUUACUAUAGCUUGACACUGAACACUGGUCCUUGAUGUGUAGGAUAGGUGGGAGGCUUUGAAGUGUGGACGCCAGUCUGCAUGGAGCCGUCCUUGAAAUACCACCCUUUAAUGGCUGGUGUUCUAACGUGGGCCCCUAAUCGGGGUUGCGGACAGUGUCUGGUGGGUAGUUUGACUGGGGCGGUCUCCUCCUAAAGAGUAACGGAGGAGCACGAAGGUCAGCUAAUCCUGGUCGGACAUCAGGAGGUUAGUGCAAUGGCAUAAGCUGGCUUGACUGCGAGCGUGACGGCGCGAGCAGGUGCGAAAGCAGGUCAUAGUGAUCCGGUGGUUCUGAAUGGAAGGGCCAUCGCUCAACGGAUAAAAGGUACUCCGGGAUAACAGGCUGAUACCGCCCAAGAGUUCAUAUCGACGGCGGUGUUUGGCACCUCGAUGUCGGCUCAUCACAUCCUGGGGCUGAAGUAGGUCCAAGGGUAUGGCUGUUCGCCAUUUAAAGUGGUACGCGAGCUGGGUUUAGAACGUCGUGAGACAGUUCGGUCCCUAUCUGCCGUGGGCGCUGGAGAAUUGAGGGGGGCUGCUCCUAGUACGAGAGGACCGGAGUGGACGCAUCACUGGUGUUCGGGUUGUCAUGCCAAUGGCAUUGCCCGGUAGCUAAAUGCGGAAGAGAUAAGUGCUGAAAGCAUCUAAGCACGAAACUUGCCCCGAGAUGAGUUCUCCCUGACCCUUUAAGGGUCCUGAAGGAACGUUGAAGACGACGACGUUGAUAGGCCGGGUGUGUAAGCGCAGCGAUGCGUUGAGCUAACCGGUACUAAUGAACCGUGAGGCUUAACCUU
rnacentral:rRNA from 1 species